rnacentral:RNase_P_RNA from 1 species
AGAGUCAGCGCAGGCGGUUGCGGAUUGGUUUAAGCACCAAUCUGAGGAAAGUCCGGGCUCCCGAAAGACCAAACUUGCUGGGUAAUGCCCAGUGCGGGUGACCGUGAGGAUAGUGCCACAGAAACAUACCGCCGAUGGUACGUGAUGGUUGUAGGGGCAUUGCAUGCAAUGCCCCUACAACAUCAAAACACAGGUAAGGGUGCAAAGGUGCGGUAAGAGCGCACCAGCAGCAUUGAGAGGUGCUGGCUCGGUAAACCCCGGUUGGGUGCAAGGCGUAGGAGCUAUGGUUGGUCUUUUCCCAGCUCCGUUGAAAAGAGCCGCUAGAGGCGUCUGGUAACAGGCGUUCGAGAUAGAUAACUGCCCUCCUGAUUGGAAUUCCAGUUAUGGAGAACAGAACCCGGCUUAUGUCUGGCUCUUCUC